AACGCACAUUGCGCCCGCCAGUAUUCUGGCGGGCAUGCCUGUCCGAGCGUCAUUUCAACCCUCAAGCCGCCGCUUGGUGCUGGGGACCGGCCGCCGCCUCCGCGCCGCCGCCCCCGAAAUGAAUUGGCGGUCACGCCGCGGUCUCCCCUGCGCAGUAGCACAAGAAACACCUCGCAACGGGAGCGCGGCGCGGCCACGGCCGUAAAACGCCCAGCUUCUUCUCAAGAGUUGACCUCGGAUCAGGUAGGAAUACCCGCUGAACUUAA
rnacentral:misc_RNA from 1 species